rnacentral:rRNA from 1 species
CGCGUAGGCGGCCAGUGCAAGUCAGUUGUGAAAUCUCCGAGCUUAACUCGGAAAGGUCAACUGAUACUGCUCGGCUAGAGUGCGGAAGGGGCAACUGGAAUUCUUGGUGUAGCGGUGAAAUGCGUAGAUAUCAAGAGGAACACCUGCGGCGAAGGCGGGUUGCUGGGCCGACACUGACGCUGAGGCGCGAAAGCUAGGGGAGCGAACG